GACGAACGCUGGCGGCAGGCUUAACACAUGCAAGUCGAACGGGUGCAGCAAUGCAUCAGUGGCAGACGGGUGAGUAACACGUGGGAACAUCCCUUUCAGUUCGGAAUAACGUUGGGAAACUAACGCUAAUACCGGAUACGUCCUUCGGGAGAAAGAUUUAUCGCUGAAAGAUUGGCCCGCGUCUGAUUAGCUAGUUGGUGAGGUAACGGCUCACCAAGGCUACGAUCAGUAGCUGAUCUGAGAGGAUGAUCAGCCACAUUGGGACUGAGACACGGCCCAAACUCCUACGGGAGGCAGCAGUGGGGAAUAUUGGACAAUAGGCGCAAGCCUGAUCCAGCCAUGCCGCGUGAGUGAUGAAGGCCUUAGGGUUGUAAAGCUCUUUCACCGAUGAAGAUAAUGACGGUAGUCGGAGAAGAAGCCCCGGCUAACUUCGUGCCAGCCGCCGCCGUAAUAC
rnacentral:rRNA from 1 species